rnacentral:rRNA from 1 species
UACAGAGGUCUCAAGCGUUGUUCGGAUUCAUUGGGCGUAAAGGGUGCGUAGGUGGCGUCGUAAGUCGGGUGUGAAAUUUCGGAGCUUAACUCCGAAACUGCAUUCGAUACUGCGGUGCUUGAGGACUGGAGAGGAGACUGGAAUUUACGGUGUAGCAGUGAAAUGCGUAGAGAUCGUAAGGAAGACCAGUGGCGAAGGCGGGUCUCUGGACAGUUCCUGACAGCUGAGGCACGGAAGGCCAGGGGAGCAAACGGG